rnacentral:rRNA from 1 species
GCGUUGUCCGGAAUUAUUGGGCGUAAAGAGCUCGUAGGCGGUCCGCCACGUUGGCUGUGAAACCCCGAGGCUCAACCUCGGGCCUGCAGUCGAUACGGGCAGACUAGAGUUCGGUAGGGGAGACUGGAAUUCCUGGUAUAGCGGUGAAAUGCGCAGAUAUCAGGAGGAACACCGGUGGGGGAGGCGGGUCUCUGGGCCGAAACUGACGCUGAGGAGCGAAAGCGUG